rnacentral:rRNA from 1 species
GGCUCAGGAUGAACGCUAGCUACAGGCUUAACACAUGCAAGUCGAGGGGCAGCAUGAAGUUUGCUUGCAAACUUUGAUGGCGACCGGCGGAUGGGUGAGUAACCGCGUACCCAACCUCGCCCCCUUCCCGGGCACAGCCCUUGGAAACGAGGAUUAAUGCCUGAUGUUCUCUGUUUCCGGCAUCGGUAAUAGAGCAAAGAUUCAUCGGUAAGGGAUGGGGAUGCGUAUGAUUAGCUUGUUGGCGGGGUAACGGCCACCAAGGCAACGAUCAUUAGGGGUUCUGAGAGGAAGGUCCCCCACACUGGAACUGAGACACGGUCCAGACUCCUACGGGAGGCAGCAGUGAGGAAUAUUGGUCAAUGGAGGCAACUCUGAACCAGCCAAGUAGCGUGCAGGACGACGGCCCUAUGGGUUGUAAACUGCUUUUAUGCGGGGAUAAAUGAUCCUACGUGUAGGAUUUUGCAGGUACCGCAUGAAUAAGGACCGGCUAAUUCCGUG